rnacentral:rRNA from 1 species
GACGAACCGUGCGAACGUUAUUCGGAAUCACUGGGCUUAAAGCGCGUAGGCGGCACGGUACGACCGGUGUGAAAGCCCCCGGCUCAACUGGGGAGGGUCACCGGUAACGGCCGAGCUAUGAGUGCAGGAGAGGGAAGUGGAACUCCGGGAGUAGCGGUGAAAUGCGUAGAGACCCGGAGGAACACCAGUGGCGAAGGCGGCUUCCUGGUCUGCAACUGACGCUGUGGCGCGAAAGCUAGGGGAGCAAACGGG